CUGCCUGGUAGUGGGGGACGAACGUUUCGAAAGGAACGCUAAUACCGCAUACGUCCUACGGGAGAAAGCAGGGACCUUCGGGCCUUGCGCUAUCAGAUGAGCCUAGGUCGGAUUAGCUAGUUGGUGAGGUAAUGGCUCACCAAGGCGACGAUCCGUAACUGGUCUGAGAGGAUGAUCAGUCACACUGGAACUGAGACACGGUCCAGACUCCUACGGGAGGCAGCAGCA
rnacentral:rRNA from 1 species